rnacentral:rRNA from 1 species
GACGAACGCUGGCGGCGUGCUUAACACAUGCAAGUCGAACGAAGCUUGAUUACGGAUUCUUCGGAUGAAGUAUGAUAUGACUGAGUGGCGGACGGGUGAGUAACGCGUGAGUAACCUGCCCUUCAGAGGGGGAUAGCGUUUGGAAACGAACGGUAAUACCGCAUAAUGUAUUUUGACCGCAUGAUCGAAAUACCAAAGAUUUAUCGCUGAAGGAUGGACUCGCGUCUGAUUAGGUAGUUGGGGGGGUAACGGCCUACCAAGCCGACGAUCAGUAGCCGGACUGAGAGGUUGAUCGGCCACAUCGGGACUGAGACACGGCCCAGACUCCUACGGGAGGCAGCAGUGGGGAAUAUUGCACAAUGGGCGCAAGCCUGAUGCAGCAACGCCGCGUGAAGGAAGACGGUUUUCGGAUUGUAAACUUCUGUUCUUAGUGAAGAAUAAUGACGGUAGCUAAGGAGCAAGCCACGGCUAACUACGUG